GUGAAGCCCAGAACGAGAUGGGACGUAGUAACUCCACCUUUCGUCUGAUUACUUCUUCAGGAAAAGGAGCCUCCCCAUGGCCAGUAACAACAGCUGUUUUUGCGUCCACAUCUGCCAUUUUCCUGGUAAUCAUCAUGAUCCUCACUGUCCUCUUGAUCAG